UGCUCUCAACAAAUCUGAAAUUUUAAUAAUAAUGAUAAGUGUUUAACAAGGUGGACAGCCAUGCCUUUAAAUAGGCAUUAUAACUAGUCCUAAUCUAAUUAGAAAACUAAAAUAAAAAAACUCCUAAUUAUUUUAAUAUGAAAAUUCGGUCAAAGGUCAUUUUAUCUGAAACUAUUGGACUGAAUAUUGACAUAAAAAUUUAAACUAACUAAAUAAAUAAAUAAAUAAAUAAAAAUAAAAAUAAAACUUUACAACUUGGGCCACUUUGACAAUUUGGCCUGAUUUUCAACUAAGUAUGGAUGGAUUUCUUGAUUGGGCUUGGAAUCUUCUUAUUGGGCCUCGCCUUCAAGAAUUUGGGCUUUUGUGACUCGUAUCAAUUACUUUGGUAAAUCUUCCAAACCAAGCCCUCGGGGACUGUUUUAGUCCGUACAAAGCCUUUUUUAGUCUGCAAACUACCUGUCCUGUAUUUGGACCGAAUCCUGGUGGAACAUCCAUAUAUACUUCCUCCUCAAGAUCACCAUGUAAAAAGGCGUUUAUGUCAAAUUGCUGUAAUUUCCAGCCUCGGUUGGCAGCUAGUGACAACAACACUCUCACAGUGUUCAUCCUCCUCGUAUUCUGUUCCUGAAAAAGACAUCGAUUGUGAUAGAAAACCACACUACAGUUAGAGUCUUUGGUAAUUCUUUGGAUGGAUAGAAGAUUGGUAAAUAGUUUUGGAACAUGAAGGACAUUUUUAAGAGUAAGGGUUUUGUUUAUAACAAUAUCACCCUGACCAACCACUGUGAUCACAGAACCAUCGACUACUGUUAUCUUUCUACUACUAGGACAAGGUGUAUAUGAAACAAAUUUUUGUGAGGAGUGGGUCAUGUGGUCUAUAGCUCCUGAGUCAAUGACCCAAGAACUUUUUGUGGGUAUAUCCGAGAUUUUAGAAUUUUGAGAAGAGAAUAUACCUGAAAAAACCAAACCACUAGUAGAUUCUUCAACUUCUCAAUUUCUUCUUUACUGAACUCAACAGAUGAUUCUUGAGAAUUCCCUUCUCCAAUGUUGCUGGUUUUGACAGUUUCAGCCAUGUUUCUUUUGAACAAAUUCUACAGGCUUGAGGGUUGAUCGGGAAUGAGAAGAAGUUGCCAGACAAAGAAAAAAAUCCCAGAAUUUGAGCUAAAAAAACGGCUCUAAUACCAUGUUAAGAACAGGCUUUUUCUAUUCCAUCUUAUUCAUAAGAAAUUACAUAAAUAUUUAUACACAUAGUAAGCCUAACUUAGGAAACUCUAUACUAGGAAACAGACUAACUCUAGGGAUGCUGUUUAAAAAAAACAGCCUUAAAGUUAGGGAUAGUAAUCAGUAAAAUAUUUACAGAAUCCUAUCUGAUACACUUAAAUAUUCC
rnacentral:lncRNA from 1 species